GUGACAUUAACAUCUGUGCAGUAUAUCUAUUGAAAACAUGAAUACAUGACCUGUGUGUUGAAACAACAGUCAGACAAUAUCAAAAAUGUGUUUACUCAAACUUCUAAGGGCAAAUGAGUAUCUUCCAUAUUAGGAGAAUGUGGUUAGACCUGUUCUGAAAAGAGCCGGAUCACGGUUGCUUGGGGCCCUAGGCAAGAUACCCUAGUAUCUGUUAUGUAAUUGUGUUGUGUGUGGUUGAGUGGUUAUUCUUUUGUCUUUCUUCCUG